rnacentral:rRNA from 1 species
UAGGGAAUCUUCCACAAUGGACGCAAGUCUGAUGGAGCAACGCCGCGUGAGUGAAGAAGGCUUUCGGGUCGUAAAACUCUGUUAUUGAAGAAGAGCGUGUGUGACAGUAACUGGUCAUGCAGUGACGGUAUUCAAUCAGAAAGUCACGGCUAACUACGUGCCAGCAGCCGCGGUAAUACGUAGGUGGCAAGCGUUGUCCGGAUUUAUUGGGCGUAAAGCGAGUGCAGGCGGUCUUUUAAGUCUGAUGUGAAAGCCUUCGGCUUAACCGAAGAAGGGCAUCGGAAACUGGGAGACUUGAGUGCAGAAGAGGAGAGUGGAACUCCAUGUGUAGCGGUGAAAUGCGUAGAUAUAUGGAAGAACACCAGUGGCGAAGGCGGCUCUCUGGUCUGUAACUGACGCUGAGGCUCGAAAGCGUGGGUAGCAAACAGGAUUAGAUACCCUGGUAGUCCACGCCGUA